AACGAACGCUGGCGGCAGGCCUAACACAUGCAAGUCGAACGUGAAGCCGGGCUUCGGCCCGGUGGAAAGUGGCAGACGGGUGAGUAACGCGUGGGAAUCUACCCAGUGGUACGGAAUAACUUCGGGAAACCGGAGCUAAUACCGUAUACGCCCUUCGGGGGAAAGAUUUAUCGCCAUUGGAUGAGCCCGCGUCGGAUUAGCUUGUUGGUGGGGUAAAAGCCUACCAAGGCGACGAUCCGUAGCUGGUCUGAGAGGAUGAUCAGCCACACUGGGACUGAGACACGGCCCAGACUCCUACGGGAGGCAGCAGUGGGGAAUAUUGCACAAUGGGCGCAAGCCUGAUGCAGCCAUGCCGCGUGAGUGAAGAAGGCCUUAGGGUUGUAAAACUCUUUCACCGGUGAAGAUAAUGACGGUAGCCGGAGAAGAAGCCCCGGCUAACUCCGUGCCAGCCGCCGCCGUAACAC
rnacentral:rRNA from 1 species